AUUGAACGCUAGCGGGAUGCUUUAAACAUGCAAGUCGAACGGAGUGGCGGACGGGUGAGUAAUAUAUCGGAACGUGCCCCGUAGCGGGGGAUAACUACUAUAAAGAGUGGCUAAUCCCGCAUACUAUUUGAGCGGCCUCUAUCGGAUUGGCUAGUUGGUGGGGUAACUGCUCACCAAGGCAACGCUCCGUCGCUGGUUUGAGAGGACGACCAGCCACACUGGGACGGAGACACGGCCCAGACUCCUACGGGAGGCAGCAGUGGGGAAUGUUGGACAAUGGGGGAAACCCUGAUCCAGCCAUCCCGCGUGUAUGAUGAAGGCCUUCGGGUUGUAAAGUACUUUUGGCAGAGAAGCGGUAUCUGCAGAAUAAGCACCGGCUAACUACGUGCCAGCAGCCGCGGUAAUUC
rnacentral:rRNA from 1 species